UACAGAGGUCUCAAGCGUUGUUCGGAUUCAUUGGGCGUAAAGGGUGCGUAGGCGGCCGGUUGCGUCUGCUGUGAAAUCCCGGGGCUUAACCCCGGGCGUGCAGUGGAUACGGGCUGGCUGGAGGCAGGCAGGGGAGAAUGGAAUUCCCGGUGUAGCGGUGAAAUGCGCAGAUAUCGGGAGGAACACCGGUGGCGAAGGCGGUUCUCUGGGCCUGUGCUGACGCUGAGGAGCGAAAGCGUGGGGAGCGAACAGG
rnacentral:rRNA from 1 species